CUAUCAACUGCGGGAGGUGCUCAGCCAGCUGUGCUGUCCUGAGGUGUGGGGUGAGCUGCUUCUGGAGGGACAGGGCACUCAGACUUUGUCCUUGGAGCUGUGGUGAUGGGACUGCAGGCGAUCUGGAUCUCUGCAUCAUAAAGGAAACACGCUGUAUGCUUCCAUACAAUACCACACCUCUAGAAGCCACACUAAUUUAAGGAGAAACCCUUCUCUUUCCUGGGUUGCUUGCACCAAGCUGCGCAAAUCCUGAUGGCCUUAAGCACGCCAACCUGGUCCCAGUGGAACUACUCACAUCCUGAGUUAUGCAGGUUUAAAUUAAACUAUACUCCAAAAGGCUUGCUUCAAAACCCAGCAGUAAGGCUAAAAGCCUCAGUAUCACCUGUUAUCUGAGGGAGAAUAGCUGAAGGAAAAUGUUCCCGUCGUGUUCUCAAGACUGAAAAGCAAAGAUGUGCUGGAGCCCAAUAACAACAAUCGAUGCUUCCAGCUUCCAGCCCUGGCUUUGGUGAAAUCCACAUGAGGAUGGGUUAUCUGAAGUUCUCCUGCUACCCCACGUCACUGAACGCCUCUGCAGGGAUGAGCCAAUUCAGCAGAAGUCCUAAGUGAAUUCUGGUGAGAAAAGGAAACAGAGGACAGGCUGCAAUCAAGCCGAAGCGUCGGGCAAACAGAAAUCAGCCUGCUUGUGUGAGAGCUGCACCAUCAAGGGCUGUGUCGUAUUCCUGCUGCAUUUCAAGCAGCUUUUCAUUUCCAUUUGGGCAGACUGACAGAAGACCCAGUAGGGGCCACAGCAGCACACUUUUGGAUCAUAUUAAUGUAUUAACAAAUACGGGACUGAGACUCCUUUAGCGCGGCAUUAGGAACCUGGCAUGAAACCAUGUAGCUUGAGGGCUGCCCAAAACAAACCAGGGCUGCCAGGGAGAGGCACAAACUGUGCCGAAGUGCUGAUGUGGCACCACGACAGUCAAGGUCAUCCUUUGUGAGAGAGUAAAAAAUCACCUGUCUGUUUUUAAAAUCCAGUAGAACCUCAUGGAUCUCCCACUUUUCCAUCUUUCAUGGACUCUUUUUAGAAAUGAGGCUACAGAUUCCUUAGUAAUGGGUGAAGAACAGUCAAAUAUCCGGGCACUGCAAAGAAAUCCCUAUUGGCAGGCAGUGAAAUACCUCACUGCUGUUGCACUUGACUUCUUGUGCUUUCUUACUGGCACCUGAUCUGCAGUACAAUUUGAGUUGAUAUUGUGAAUUAAGUAAGUAUGCUCUCCUCUAUAUAAAUCCUAAUGAUGACCAAGACAGAUUGGGCGUGGCAGAGUAAAAAAAGAAAAGUGAUGAAGACUCAGUGAGACAAAGCUAUGUGGUCCAUCAAGCACGUGGCUGUGAGCAUGAUGCUACAGACAGACCUUUCCAUGAUGCAUUGGGCUUUUUGUGCAUAACCGCAAGGAAGGUUCAGCUCCUAGCUGAAGUCUGCAAAGAAAGCAAAAUGCACGAGCACCUGGUAGCCUGAUUUUUUUUGUUCUUUCAAGUUAAGGCCAAUGACACAUUUGGAGACAAUUAAAACAAAGGUUGAGCUUUUCAGCUAGGAAAAAAAAGAAAAAGCAACACACUUAUGCCAUAUAUAAAUAAAACCAGGCUUCAGUACUGAGAGCAGACUGUUUUGUUAUUUUUCUCCCCUCUACAGAAAAUCUUUACUUUGUGCCAGGACUAAAAUAUUAGCACUGUGUUCCCUCCUCUGUUUAAGCAGACCUCAUUGCAUCUAAGUGCCAAAAAAGUGGAAUUCCAGAACAGCAGGUGAAAAGAAAACAGAAGAUCAAAAGCAGCUCUGGCUGCCAAGAGAACCUGCAGCACUGCUUGGGGGUGCACGAAAAAGUCACGCAGACUCCUGAUGGUGUCAGAGACUUUUGGAAGGUCGUCAAGGAGGUUUUUUUUUCUCAGGCAUCCCACAUCAAAAAGCAGCACUAGGAGAGAAACUUGCAGUGCAUCGUGACGAGUGUGCUGAAGAUACACCCUACUUGUAGGAGAAUUUAGGUCUUUUCCUCAGCAUAACCUAUAGAAGCAGCUUUAAGAAACCCAUGCUUAGACUGGAGCCUGUUAAGUGCUUAUAACAGGUGAUCAUUAAGCAAGGGCUAAUUUGUGUCUUUAACCCAUGUGGGGGAACUAUGGAAGAAGUGUUUCUUUCUCAGCUCAUCCUCUCAGCAGAGACAAAGGACAUGUACUUUGCUGUUCUUGUAACCAGGAGGCCUUAACAUUAAUUCCUAUUGCUACACCCAGCUGUCCAUUUGUAUGUCUGUGACCUUCCUCUUUAGCGAUGAUGAACGCUUUGGGGAUGCAUGGAAGAAACUGCUCCAAAGCACCUUAUCAGUAGCUGUCUUUAGAAAGGAGAGCUACAACAGGCUUCCUUCUCCAAUCCCUUUCUAACCCCUCUGCCUACCGUCUGGUCAUCUUUGGAAAAGGCCCAACAACAGUCAUCUGUGAUUGCCUCAGAAAGCUUGGAAGUGUCUCUGGACCUUAUAGACAGUAAUGGGAGCACUGUGGUGUCCAUCUCUUGCCUCCCAGUGCUCUUACUGAUGGUGACAUUAGCCCUGUGGCAUGUGCAAGCCAUCAUAUUGACCAACAGAAACUGAUUUUCAGAAGGCACCUGUGAAAGUCUCCUCUAUAAUUACUAUGGCUGGGAAAUGGAGCCUAAGAACUGACUUACUGGGCAGCAUAUUGGCAUCACCAUUGGGAUCACAGAUCAGUAGUGCUUUAUUCCAUUUUUACUCCUAAAUAUCAUCAAAUAAUGAAGUUUUCUUUAUUUAAAGACUUCCAUUAGUGAGCUUAAAAUAACACAACGUGUACAUCCACUCCUAAAGACAGCUUUUUUUUUUAUUUUAAAAUUCUGCAUCUGAAAACACAGUAUGACAGAAAGCAUUUAUAUACAACUGCAGUGUUUUUGGUAUAAUACAGUAUUUAAUACAUCCAUUUCAUUUUCUGCAAAAAAAUUUGCUUUAUUGGACCAAAAAACCAAACUCCCAUUGACAAAGAAUACAGCUAAGGCACAUUGUUUUCUGCUAAAUGAAAGACAA
ensembl:lncRNA